rnacentral:rRNA from 1 species
GAAUAUUGGACAAUGGGCGCAAGCCUGAUCCAGCAAUGCCGCGUGGGUGAAGAGGGCCUUCGGGUUGUAAAGCCCUUUUGUACGGGAAGAAAAGCUUUAGGUUAAUACCCUGAGGUCAUGACGGUACCGUAAGAAUCAGCACCGGCUAACUUCGUGCCAGCAGCCGCGGUAAUACGAAGGGUGCAAGCGUUCAUCGGAAUUACUGGGCGUAAAGCGUGCGUAGGUGGUUUGUUAAGUCUGAUGUGAAAGCCCUGGGCUCAACCUGGGAAUGGCAUUGGAUACUGGCUUACUAGAGUGCGGUAGAGGGUAGCGGAAUUUCCGGUGUAGCGGUGAAAUGCGUAGAGAUCGGAAGGAACAUCCGUGGCGAAGGCGGCUACCUGGACCAGCACUGACACUGAGGCACGAAAGCGUGGGGAGCAAACAGG